CACGUAUCAUUUGUAUCAUUUCAAAUCGCAGUUUUAACCACCACGUAUCAUUCCAAAACCUAUCUCAUUUAAAUUCAUCCAUCAGCUAUAAUCAAUUUCAUUUUUCAGCAAUUUCUAACUCGUCUUCGUUCUGCAGAGGUGCAACGCGACUAGGACAUGGAUUUUAAUUUGAAUUAUCAGAAUUAGCUUUCAAGUUGAACUUCAAAUUCAGGGGCCCGUUGAAUGGGUCCAGGAUGGAAAGAUCCUUGGUAUGCCACAAUGCGAUAUUAUGUUAAAGUUAUGGUUGCAACCAGUCGCCAGGGGCCGGCUAAAUCGGUCCAGGACGGAAAGGUCCUUGGUAUGCCACCGUGCGACUUUCAGUUACAAAUGUAUUGAUCAUAUGUGAUUCUCAUUUUAUUAACGUGGACAAUGAUUGCAUGUCCCACACUGAGUGUACCUUGUAUGCUCAUCCCAUACUUAACAUUUUUAGGUUUUAAAGGCCGGAGGCGCGUGGAAGGUCGAAUGGCGAAUCAAAUAUUUUGAAUUUAGUUUUACUUAAAAAUGUUAUGUUUAGUAAAGUAUAAGAUAUUUAUUUCUCUAUUUUCACAUUAAAUAUUUAUUUAUAGUCAUGAUUUUUCCGCGUG